rnacentral:tRNA from 1 species
AGAAAUUUAAGUUAACAGACUAAAGGUC